ACAAAAAAAAUUUAGCCCCCCCCCCCGCCUCUCUCGCUCUCUCUCUCGACAACCCUCUCCCCCCAAAAGAAAACCCUAGUCUGAAGCUCUGGAAGUCGGUGAAGCCUCCUGCCUCAAAUCUGUCUGCGGCGGCGCUGAGGCAAGCUAGGUGACGGCCGAUCUCUGGAGUUUCGGUGAGCGGUGUGAAGAGGAGAUCCUGAGAUGGGUCUGCUUUCGACGGGGGGCGAGCACGCGGUGGAGGAGCUCACGGCGGAGAGCUUCGACGGCGUGGAUAUCGCUUUGUUCAGCACCGGAGGAUCCAUAAGCAGAAAGUUCGGACCUUUGGCGGCGGAGAGAGGAACGGUCGUCGUCGUCGACAAUAGCUCCGCGUUUAGAAUGGCUGACGGCGUUCCGUUGGUGAUACCCUGAGGCGGUGAAAGGGAUUAGAGGGGGAAAUGGUAAAGGGGUCUUGAUUGCGAACCCUAAUUGCUCGACGAUUAUCUGCUUGAUGGCCGUUAUGCCUCUUCAUCAUCACGCCAAGGUGAAGAGGAUGGUGGUUAGUACGUAUCAAGCAGCUAGUGGUGCAGGUGCUGCAGCUAUGGAAGAGCUUAUGCAGCAGACUCGCGAGGUUUUGUCUGAUGUUUAAGUGCUGUGGCAUCAAGCGGUUAGUCUGAUUCAUGUAUGCUUCGUCCUCUUGCUUGUUUGUAACCAAGAGGCCUAAGGCUCUUACGGUUGAUGACAAGAUGAUGGUUCUUGGAUGCAAGUAAGCUGAUAAUUUUAAAUUAAAAAAAACUACGGUGGCAAUAACCACGGAAGAGGCGUCUGGUAACAUAUCAGACAGCUCCAAUAUCUCUACCUGAAGGCUCUUGGAAACAGGUAGCUGGUGGAGUUACAGCUGCUAAAGAGUUCCUUUGAGACACUAACAACUGAAGAUCGAUUACAUGUUGCAGUGUGGGCCAAGAGUUUGUAGUGCUUGUACUAAUCAGCACAGUCUGCUACUUCAUAUUCCUUGAAUAUUUACUGGUAAUGCUUGUUUUAUUCUCCUGAGGUGUCCCAAAACACGGGCUCUAUGUUCUUUAAAUGUCAUUACAAAGAUUACAUGACAUGACAAGGGUUCUUUAUAUGUUCUGCAGCUGCUGAGAGACAGAAGAUGUUGGAAGACAUGGAACGAGACUUCAAAGAUUCUCAACAUACACUUCCUACCUGUAGCCGCUACAAAAGAUCUUGAAUAACUAAUCUGAGACAAAUUUUGAUGUAUUGUUACAGCUGCUAAGAGACAGUAUGCUUGAAGAAAUUGAACGUGAAUUCGAAGCUGCUAAGAGGAGGUAGCAAAAGGGUGGGUCGCUAGCCUCAGAGACAUUAGGUUUAGAGUGGAGAAGGUCCAAACUCGGGUGUGUUACUAGAAAACGGUGACGUUGGGGUACUCGUUGUGACGGCGUCGGUCGUAGUGUGGUGUGGCCUAAGGAGAUAGAACGUUAGGUAUAGAAUUUUAUGUGUAGAUUUAUUUUUUUUGGAAAAAAAAAAUUGGUUUAGUUUGGUUUAGUUUGUAUACAG